GACGAACGCUGGCGGCGUGCCUAAUACAUGCAAGUCGAGCGAAGCAGAGGAUGGGUGAGUAAAGCGUGGGUGACCUGCCCAUAAGUAUGGGAUACCAUUUGGAAACAGAUACUAAUACCGGAUACUAAAGGAUGGCACGGCGAUGCAUUAGCUAGUGGGUAAGGUAACGGCUUACCAAGGCGAAGAUGCAUAGCCGGGUUGAGAGACUGAUCGGCCACACUGGUACUGAGACACGGCCCAAACUCCUACGGGAGGCAGCAGUAGGGAAUCUUCCACAAUGGACGAAAGUCUGAUGGAGCAACGCCGCGUGAGUGAAGAAGGUUUUCGGAUCGUAAAGCUCUGUUGUUGGUGAAGCGUUAAUCAACCAGAAAGUCACGGCUAACUACGUGCCAGCAGCCGCGGUAAUAC
rnacentral:rRNA from 1 species